rnacentral:rRNA from 1 species
UACAGAGGUCUCAAGCGUUGUUCGGAUUCAUUGGGCGUAAAGGGUGUGUAGGUGGCGCGCUAAGUCGGGUGUGAAAUCUCGGAGCUUAACUCCGAAACUGCAUUCGAUACUGCCGUGCUUGAGGACUGGAGAGGAGACUGGAAUUUACGGUGUAGCGGUGAAAUGCGUAGAUAUCGUAGGGAAGACCAGUGGCGAAGGCGGGUCUCUGGACAGUUCCUGACGCUGAGGCACGAAGGUCAGGGGAGCAAACGGG